UACCUGGUUGAUCCUGCCAGUAGUCAUAUGCUUGUCUCAAAGUUUAAGCCAUGCAUGUCUCAGUAUAAAUUUAUCGAGGGUGAAACUGCGAAUGGCUCAUUAAAACAGUUAUUAUCCACACAGUAAUCAAUUCAAGAGGGACAACUGUACUAAUUGUAGAGCUAAUACGUGCUUGACAACCCAACUUUUAUGGAAGGGCAGCGCUUAUUGGAUACCGAACCAAUCCACUCAGGUGGCUCUCAGUUGAUUCAUAGUAUUUCAGUGGAUCGCAAAUCGCGACAAUCUGUUCGAGUUUCUGACCUAUCAGCUUUCGAUGGUAUGGUAUUGGCUUACCAUGGCUUUGACGGGUAACGGAGAAUUAGGGUUCGAUUCCGGAGAGGGAGCCUGAGAGACGGCUACCACAUCUAAGGAAGGCAGCAGGCGCGUAAAUUACCCAAUCUUAACACAGGGAGGUAGUGACAAGAAAUAUCAAUACAAAACAUUUUUGUUUUGUAAUUGGAAUGAGAGCAAGUUAAAUCUAUUAUCGAGUAUCCAUUGGAGGGCAAGUCUGGUGCCAGCAGCCGCGGUAAUUCCAGCUCCAAUAGCGUAUAUUAAAAUUGUUGCGGUUAAAACGCUCGUAGUUGGAUAUUUGUUGGAAAUCCCGUGUCCGCCCUAGCGGCGUGUACUGCGAGUGUUUUCGGCUUUUCCUGGGAAAAGUGUCCAUACUUUAUUGUAUGGAAGCAAUGCCCAGGGCAUUUACUUUGAGGAAAUCAGAGUGCUUAAAGCAGGCCCUGCCAUGUAUACGUUAGCAUGGAAUAAUAUUAUAGGACUUCUGGUCGUAAAUGUUGGUUCACGACAAGGGGUAAUAAAAAUAAGGACAGUUGGGGGCAUUCGUACUGCAAAGUCAGAGGUGAAAUUCUUGGAUUUUUGCAAGAUGAACUACUGCGAAAGCAUUUGCCAAGGAUGUUUUUAUUAAUCAAGAACGAAAGUUAGGGGAUCGAAGACGAUCAGAUACCGUCGUAGUCUUAACCAUAAACUAUACCGACUAGAGAUUGGGGGGUGUUGUUAUAUGACUCCUUCAGCAACUUGAGAGAAAUCAAAGUCUUUGGGUUCCGGGGGGAGUAUGGUCGCAAGGCUGAAACUUAAAGGAAUUGACGGAAGGGCACCACCAGGAGUGGAGCCUGCGGCUUAAUUUGACUCAACACGGGAAAACUUACCAGGUCCAGACAUAGGAAGGAUUGACAGAUUGAUAGCUCUUUCUUGAUUCUAUGGGUGGUGGUGCAUGGGCCGUUCUUAGUUGGUGGAGUGAUUUGUCUGGUUAAUUCCGAUAACGAUCGAGACCUUAACCUGCUAAAUAGUGCCACGAAGGUUUCCUACGUGUCAUCUUCUUAGAGGGACGUUCUGUGUGGAACAAAAGGAAGUGUGAGGCAAUAACAGGUCUGUGAUGCCCUUAGAUGUCCUGGGCUGCACGCGCGCUACACUGAUGCGUUCAGCGAGUACCCUUCCUUGCCCGAAAGGGCAUGGUAAACUUCUGAAAAUGCAUCGUGAUGGGGAUAGAUUAUUGCAAUUGUUGGUUUUGAACGAGGAAUUCCUAGUAAGCGCAAGUCAUCACCUUGUGCUGAUUACGUCCCUGCCCUUUGUACACACCGCCCGUCGCUCCUACCGAUUGAGUGGUCCGGUGAAUAUUUCGGACUGCAGCAAUGUUUGGAUCCCGAACGUUGCAGCGGAAAGUUUAGUGAACCUUAUCACUUAGAGGAAGGAGAAGUCGUAACAAGGUUUCCGUAGGUGAACCUGCAGAAGGAUC
rnacentral:rRNA from 1 species